rnacentral:rRNA from 1 species
CCUGACGACCAUAGCAAGGUGGUCCCACUCCUUCCCAUCCCGAACAGGACAGUGAAACGCCUUUGCGCCGAUGAUAGUGGACGGAC